AGGACAAACGCUGGCGGCGUGCCUAAGACAUGCAAGUCGAACGGAAGGCUUCGGCCUUUAGUGGCGGACGGGUGAGGAGCGCGUGGAGAACCUGCCCCGGGGUGGGGGAUAACAGUCGGAAACGAUUGCUAAGACCGCAUACGACCAUUCGUUGCAGGAUGAAUGGGGAAAGCAGCGAUGUGCCCUGGGAGGGCUCCGCGUCGGAUUAGCUAGUUGGUGGGGUAACGGCCUACCAAGGCUGCGAUCCGUAGCUGGUCUGAGAGGACGGCCAGCCACACUGGGACUGAGACACGGCCCAGACUCCUACGGGAGGCAGCAGUUAGGGAAUUUUGUCAAUGGGCGAAAGCCUGAACGAGUGACGCCGCGUGCGGGAUGACGCCUUUCGGGGUGUAAACCGCUUUUCCCAAGGACGAGGAUGGACGGUACUUGGGGAAUAAGUCUCGGCUAACUACGCGCCAGCAGCCGC
rnacentral:rRNA from 1 species